rnacentral:rRNA from 1 species
CACGUAGGGCGCAAGCGUUGUCCGGAAUUAUUGGGCGUAAAGAGCUCGUAGGCGGUCUGUUGCGUCUGCUGUGAAAACCCGGGGCUCAACUCCGGGCCUGCAGCCGAUACGGGCAGACUAGAGUUCGGCAGGGGAGACUGGAAUUCCUGGUGUAGCGGUGAAAUGCGCAGAUAUCAGGAGGAACACCGGUGGCGAAGGCGGGUCUCUGGGCAUUAACUGACGCUGAGGAGCGAAAGCAUGGGGAGCGAACAGG